CAGUAGCCGCGGGAAAACGAAGGGUGCAAGCGUUAAUCGGAAUUACUGGGCGUAAAGCGUGCGUAGGUGGUGGUUUAAGUCCGUUGUGAAAGCCCUGGGCUCAACCUGGGAAUUGCAGUGGAUACUGGGUCACUAGAGUGUGGUAGAGGAUAGUGGAAUUUCCGGUGUAGCAGUGAAAUGCGUAGAGAUCGGAAGGAACAUCUGUGGCGAAGGCGACUAUCUGGGCCAACACUGACACUGAGGCACGAAAGCGUGGGGAGCAAACAGGAUUAGAUACCCCUGUAGUCCCUGUCUCUUAUAC
rnacentral:rRNA from 1 species